CUGUGUGGCAUGAAUGUGGGUGUGUGUGCACAUACACAGAUACUUUAACACACUGUCAGAGGAUUUGAUUGAACUCACACCUGAAGCCAGAUUUUUUUUAGAAGUUGUCCCUUUGUUCAUUAUUUCUUGGCCAGGCACAGAAAAUUAAAAGCAGGUUAUUGAAACCCAUUUUCUGGGUCCUGAAGGAUAACUGUUAGCCUUGGAUGAUCAGAAGGAGCAGCUAUGCACCUAUUAGGCUUUGUCAGCCUUGGCCACACUGGGUUAUGGGGAUUCCUAACCUCCUGAACACUACUCACUAGUUUGGUGAUUAUCUAUCUCCUUGAGAGAAGGCAAGUAUGGCCCAAUGGAAAUAGCACAGCCUUGGAGUCGGGACACCUGAGCAUCUUGCCUCAUUCUGCCAUGUACAAACUCUGUGGCCUCCAGCAAGUUCCUUUACCACUCUGAACCACAGUGUCCUCAUCUGCAGAGGGACGACAACCCCUAUUUGAUGAUUGUUGGGAGAAUUCAAGAUAAUGUAUGCAAACAACUUACCUACACUUGUACAUUCAACUAUCAUCUUCUUCAAAGAAGAAACUGUGGCAGGUGCUAUUCCACAACCCAUGUUUAUGUUCAAGCUUUGUUGGAUUCCUGUUUGGGAAUUUCCUUCCGAGGCGGGCGGUGUCACAUUCAUUUGAAGUCAGUCAAUAAUGACCCAGAUGUGGCACAUGAAACAGAGUUGGCCAGGAAAAAGAAGUCCCUGUAAAGCUCAUGUCAGAGAGAGAGAGAGAAGGAAGAAGCAUGGAUGGGCCUUAAAGAUAUUCUAGAUGUGGCCAAGGAGAAACAACUUCCUAUUCCUAUCCUGUAGCCUGCCAAGCCUGAGAAGCUACCUCCCUGAAAAUCUUCCUAGGACUCCUCAGCUUCCUCAAUGCUACCAAAUACCCACUAUCUCCAUAGACACACACAAAUGACAGAAGUAAAAGGAGCCACGAAGAUGAUGGAAGUCGGUUACCACAUCGUCCCUAACUGUAGGGGUUGGUUAGCUGUACAUGUCAAUAGUUCUAAUGAGGGCUGUGGAGUAAUUUGUUAAAUAACCGAGUGAGCAUGCCAGUCAGAAGCUGCUGGAUGAGAGCGCAGCAUCAAUUAGAGACAAAGGAAAUCGCUUGCUUUUCUCUGCAGCGAGCGGGCCCUUGGAGGCGCGGCACUAGCUGGUCCAGAAAAAGCAGAGAAAGCAGAGGGAAGGAGUGGGGGACGGAGAAGGCAACUCAGCCCCCUGGAAGUCUGAGGGGUGAUAAAGAAAAAGACCCCUCGCUCACGCUGAGCAAACACAUAUGACCAGAGCGGAGAGUGGAAAGAAAACCCUGCAGUCCCCAGGGAACUUGACAGAGAGCAUCUGACAGCCAGACUGAGUGACCAGCCAGACCAUCUGCUCCCACACGUCUCUCCCCAACAAUGGGGGCUUCUGCAGACCUUCUGCCCCCUCCCCCUCCCUUACCCUUAGCAUGAAUUUAAAUGAAGCCUCACAACUGGGGGGCAGCGGCUCCCGUUGUGAUCUCUCACACAGAGAGAGCUAGCCUAGUGCCCCGAACAGGAGGCCCGAGGGGAGAGGUUAAAAUCUCAGCUGCCCGGAGAGAUGAUUACGGAGCCGCUCCCAAAUUAAGCUGCUUCACUGCUGGUCCUUGGGCAUGUGUUCGGAUAAUUGUGCUUGAAUACUUAAUGCUUGAUUGACUUGGCUGUUUUGCGUUUGACCAUAUUUUGAAAUGCGAUCUCACUCUUGGGGUAGGCAAUUAGCAUAGAGCCCACGGGGUUGCAAAGAGUGAAACUGAGUUGCUUCUAUGGUGAUUUCUGCUUCUUUCCUGGAUUCAGCACAGAAAGCUGAGUGUUCUACUGGGG
rnacentral:lncRNA from 1 species